UACGUAGGGGGCAAGCGUUGUCCGGAAUCAUUGGGCGUAAAGCGCGCGUAGGCGGCUCGAUCAGUCUGCUGUAAAAGUCAAAGGCUCAACCUUUGAAUGCCGGUGGAUACUGUCGGGCUAGAGUCCGGAAGAGGCGAGUGGAAUUCCUGGUGUAGCGGUGAAAUGCGCAGAUAUCAGGAGGAACACCAAUGGCGAAGGCAGCUCGCUGGGACGUGACUGACGCUGAGACGCGAAAGCGUGGGGAGCAAACAGG
rnacentral:rRNA from 1 species